CCUGUCAAGAUCUUCAGCAGAUGUUUGAGCAAAAAGUCAUCAUCCUCUUCGUCACUCUUCAUCCGUAUUUGGGGUAACAAGCACCUGCUUCCCACAAGAGACUGGACAGCUGAUGUCAGACCUGCACCUUCCUUGAACAUGUUGGUAUCUUACUCUGUAUUUGUUCACGGUGGUCACCCCAGGGUCUCAGGACUCAAAUUGAGUGCUCUAUGGAUUAAACAGAAAAUGCAGUAUAAACAAGUGUUAUGUUGUCUUCAACAUGUUGGUAACUUACUCUGUAUUUGUUCACGGUGGUCACCCCAGGGUCUCAGGACUCAAAACGAGUGCUCUAUGGAUUGAACAUAAAAUGUAGAUCAACACUCCAACCAUCUGCAUUAGGGACUGAAUAAAGGAUGCCCUCUGUAGCUGGGAAUGUUAGAUCAGGUAAUUUGCAUUUGAUAUAUUUUUAA